rnacentral:rRNA from 1 species
UACGAAGGGGGCUAGCGUUGCUCGGAAUCACUGGGCGUAAAGGGUGCGUAGGCGGGUCUUUAAGUCAGGGGUGAAAUCCUGGAGCUCAACUCCAGAACUGCCUUUGAUACUGAAGAUCUUGAGUUCGGGAGAGGUGAGUGGAACUGCGAGUGUAGAGGUGAAAUUCGUAGAUAUUCGGAAGAACACCAGUGGCGAAGGCGGCUCACUGGCCCGGUACUGACGCUGAGGUGCGAAAGCGUGGGGAGCAAACGGG